rnacentral:rRNA from 1 species
CCAAUAGCGUAUAUUAAAGUUGUUGCAGUUAAAAAGCUCGUAGUUGAAUUUCGGGGUUAGUAGGUUGGUCAUGCCUCCGGUAUGUACUGAUCUCACUGAUUCCUCCUUCCUUAUGAACCGUAAUGCCAUUAAUUUGGUGUUGCGGGGAAUUUGGACUGUUACUUUGAAAAAAUUAGAGUGUUUAAAGCAGGCUAACGCUU